UUGUCGAUCAAGUGUCACAAACUGUCAAAAUUUCUUAUUAUUUUCCGAAUACUAUAUUAAUUUAGCCAAAAGUUAGCUUUAAAAGGGGAGGCACAAAAUGUACCAAAUCUGUAUUAAUUUAUUAAAUAAAUAGUUCAAAAUGUCCAAGCUGCUGUUUGUUCUUUGCAUCUUUCUCCUGACCAUUGUCUUCGUUGCUAUUGCAAAGAAACCGCAUUGUGCAUCAUUCAAUAAACCAUGCAAUCCAUCAGAAGGUUCUAACAACUGCUGUAACGAGAUGAGCUGUCUAAAGCAUGAUUCCAAAGGUGGGAAAACUGUUGGAUUAUGUGCAUAUGCUAACUAAUGACUAAGAGGAGAGCAAGUCGGUAGA